CGCAGUGAAAGGGAAACAUUUUCCUGCGCUGUCUUCGUGCAUUUCGGGUGGGUGUGCAGUGUUUGACGGGUGCAGACGGAGCCGCUCGGAGAGACGGAUGCUGAUUUAAUUGUCUCAGCAGCGGAUGAUUGAAAGAGUGAAAAGGAGAAAGAGUUUAAGUGUUCGAUCUCUCCAGUUAAUCCAACGAGGAAACACACGCCGCAGACAAGGAGGUGGCAGAAGCCUCUUUCUAAGGGGAUUUUUAAAGAGGCUUCGUGUGGUGCAGUCAAAGCAAAGUCUCCAGCAGAAGCGUGCGUGUAAAAAGAAGGGAGUUCUUUAAUUUAACUCAACCCCGCCGUCUUUUUUAUUUUUGUCAUCCCUGCCCUCUUCUCGAUGGUGGACGGAGACGUUCCACCGUCUCC
ensembl:lncRNA